CCUACGGGUGGCAGCAGUGGGGAAUAUUGGGCAAUGGAGGCAACUCUGACCCAGCAACGCCGCGUGAAUGAUGAAGGUCUUCGGAUUGUAAAGUUCUGUGAUGGGGGAUGAACACAAUGACGGUACCCCAAUAGCAAGCCACGGCUAACUACGUGCCAGCAGCCGCGGUAAUACGUAGGUGGCAAGCGUUAUCCGGAAUGACUGGGCGUAAAGGGUGCGUAGGUGGUUUAGUAAGUUGGCGGUGUAAGUCCGGGGCUCAACCUGGGCGUUACCGGCAAAACUAUUAGACUAGAGUGCAGGAGGGGGAAGUGGAAUUCCUAGUGUAGCGGUGAAAUGCGUAGAGAUUAGGAGGAACACCAGUGGCGAAGGCGGCUUACUGGACUGUAACUGACGUUGAGGCUCGAAAGCGUGGGGAGCAAACAGGAUUAGAUACCCUAGUAGUC
rnacentral:rRNA from 1 species